AUGAACGCUGGCGGCGUGCCUAAUACAUGCAAGUCGAGCGAACAGACGAGGAGCUUGCUCCUCUGACGUUAGCGGCGGACGGGUGAGUAACACGUGGAUAACCUACCUAUAAGACUGGGAUAACUUCGGGAAACCGGAGCUAAUACCGGAUAAUAUAUUGAACCGCAUGGUUCAAUAGUGAAAGACGGUUUUGCUGUCACUUAUAGAUGGAUCCGCGCCGCAUUAGCUAGUUGGUAAGGUAACGGCUUACCAAGGCAACGAUGCGUAGCCGACCUGCGAGGGUGCUCGGCCACACUGGAACUGAGACACGGUCCAGACUCCUACGGUAGUCAGCAGUAGGGAAUCUUCCGCAAUGGGCGAAAGCCUGACGGAGCAACGCCGCGUGAGUGAUGAAGGUCUUCGGAUCGUAAAACUCUGUUAUUAGGGAAGAACAAAUGUGUAAGUAACUAUGCACGUCUUGACGGUACCUAAUCAGAAAGCCACGGCUAACUACGUG
rnacentral:rRNA from 1 species